rnacentral:rRNA from 1 species
AUUGAACGCUGGCGGCAUGCCUUACACAUGCAAGUCGAACGGCAGCGGACCUUCGGGUGCCGGCGAGUGGCGAACGGGUGAGUAAUAUAUCGGAACGUACCUUUCAGUGGGGGAGUAACGUAGCGAAAGUUACGCUAAUACCGCAUAUUCUGUGAGCAGGAAAGCAGGGGAUCGCAAGACCUUGCGCUGAUUGAGCGGCCGAUAUCAGAUUAGCUAGUUGGUGAGGUAAAGGCUCACCAAGGCGACGAUCUGUAGCGGGUCUGAGAGGAUGAUCCGCCACACUGGAACUGAGACACGGUCCAGACUCCUACGGGAGGCAGCAGUGGGGAAUUUUGGACAAUGGGCGCAAGCCUGAUCCAGCCAUGCCGCGUGAGUGAAGAAGGCCUCGGUUGUAAGA